AGGAUUAACGCUGGCGGCGUGCCUAAUACAUGCAAGUCGAAUGGUAGCAAUACCAUGGCGAACGGGUGAGUAACACGUAGGUAACCUGUCUUUAAGCCGAGGAUAACCAUUGGAAACGAUGGAUAAUACUGGAUAGGACAUUUGAAGGCAUCUUUAGAUGUUUAAAGAUUUAUCACUUAGAGAGGGGCCUGCGGCGCAUUAGCUAGUUGGUGAGGUGAAGGCUUACCAAGGCGAUGAUGCGUAGCCGGACUGAGAGGUUGAACGGCCACAAUGGAACUGAGAACGGUCCAUACUCCUACGGGAGGCAGCAGUAGGGAAUUUUCGGCAAUGGGCGGAAGCCUGACCGAGCAACGCCGCGUGAACGAAGAAGUAUUUCGGUAUGUAAAGUUCUUUUAUUAGGGACGAAAAGACAGAUUGACGGUACCUAAUGAAUAAGCUCCGGCUAACUACGUGCCAGCAGCCGC
rnacentral:rRNA from 1 species